AGAUCUGCCGAUUGUCCUAGUUGCUUCCUGGGUUUGUAUUUACUCCGGAAUUGGAGCAGUGAGUAAAAAUGUGGCCAGCCAGAUUGUGGCUGAUUUGGAUCAACCGGAAGUGAAGUUUCGUUGUAAAUAUUCACUUGAUGACCCGGAUGGAGGCACCAUAAUCGCAUGGUCAGUGAAUGAUGAAACCAUUCUGAAGAGAAAUUCAAAAGGCGAAUUGUAUUACCACGACGCUUAUACCGGUAGGGUGCAUUUCGGCGAUGAUUGCUCCUUAGUUCUGAAGGAUCCAGGUCUAAACGACACGGGGCAUUACACUCUGGAAAUUUUGACUUCAAAUGACAAACAUCCAAGAGCAGUAGAGUCGGUGAAUUUGAUGGUAACCGCUCGGACUUCAACAGUGACAGACCAAACAGUGUCGAUGAUUCCUGUGCAGACCAUAAAUACUCCACCCCCACCACAAAUGCCACAGAUAUAAAUGGAGCUACCGAGACGUGGCAAGACAAAGCAACCUACAUAGUGACGAUUCUCCAGUUGGUGACAUCACCUUGCUGCCUCAUCUGCUCGUUUAGUUUCACCGUAAUUCAGGCAUACCGCAUGGAAAAUGAUGUAUUGUACGAAAGAAGGGGGAUAGAUACACGUGGUUUGAUCUUCUCUCAAGUGUGGACCAUUUUUUUUACGAUGGUAUUUGUGGCAUCGAUGAAGGAUGUUGCGAAACACAACGUUUACACAUUUACAGGAAGAUCUGUUCUAUUUCUACUUUCUUUUGCGAGUCUGAUAAUUUACCUGGGGAAAUACUUGUAUAUGAAAAAGCAGGCUUCAGCAAAUGUUUCAGGCAAAGGUCCCAAAAUAUCUUAAGCGAUUCUUUCCAGUGGGCCACCAACGGCGUAU